rnacentral:lncRNA from 1 species
UGGACUGUCGGAAGGUGGCUGAGCGGCCCAUUGGGGAUGCUGGCAGCCCACCCACAGCUGGUUUCAUCACACUAGGGAGGCUAGCCAAGGCCAGAGGGCCACGGAGCAGCUCAGCCACAUUCCAGCUCCAGAUGUUGCAGAUCAUGUGCAGCGAUACGUGGGCGGACAAGGACAGGUGCUGCGAGCUUCCUGCAUUGAGGGAUGGAGAGACAUGCCCGGCCUUCCCUUUAGCCUGUACCUACUCAUCUGAGACCCCUGGGCCACCAGGGCCCCAAGGCCCUCCAGGCCUCCCUGGAAGGAAUGGCACUCCAGGACAGCAGGGACACCCAGGACCCAAGGGAGAGCCUGGCCCACCUGGACAAACAGGACCCGAAGGCCCUGGAGGUCAGCAGGGGUCACCAGGGACCCAGGGCCGUGCAGUCCAGGGACC